rnacentral:lncRNA from 1 species
AACAAAAAGUAAGGCGAUGCAGGCUGGAGCUCGCGCGAACCGGACGGCCACGAGCUCUGGCCUGGUGUAUCCGAGAAAGAGAGCACACACAAAGGCCGAGGGGACUUACCGGGUUCGAGUGGGGCGCUGUGGCGGAUGGCGACUAGCGGGCUGGCCUCCGGCAACGAUGAGCGAUUCAGGAAACGACCAGCAACGAAGAGCAGCAACGUCACUUGUGUAGCAACGAAGAGCAGCCAGAAUCGUCGCUAAUGGAG